GUAAAACAUUAUUAGUAAAGAGCAAGUCAGAGGGAGUGUAGAAAAUGUCGGUCAUAACUGGGAAGUGCCACGUAAUACUUAUGCGUAUGAGAUAAUGCAAGAUCUUAUUUCAACCGGGUGAUAUCUGUCUCAAAGGUACCAAUGUCCCAAAAUGUCCUGAUGAUUGUCAAUUUCAGAGAAGCCGGCGUGCAGUGUGUAUUAUUUUUAUACGUUUUUAGUAGAGUAUACAUAUACAAUAUAUAUAUUUAAAAAAAGUUCUCAUUAAAUAAGGAAUGUGGCCAAUAGAAGCAUGGCCGGAACUUUGAAUCCCAAACGCAAAGUUUUCGGGAAAAACCCAGAUAUAACGUUUGAAUUUCCAGGCAAUGGUGUGGAAAAUGCAGCACUUUUGCGUACAGAAAAGAAACACCUCAUAAAUAUAAGUGAGGUGUUUGAGAAGCAGUUUCUCAGUGAGCUAAAUGGAGAAAAUGAGAAAAUUGUAAUCAAAGAUAUAUCAUUUGAUACAUUUAGUAGGAUGAUCGAGUUCAGUUAUAAUAGUUACAUCAAAAUAAAUGAGGAAAAUUAUUUGGAAAUGCUUUACGCUGCAAAGAAAUACUUUUAUUACGAUCUGCUUAACAAAAUUGCAAUUUUCCUUCUACAAUUCAUAACAGUAGAUAAUCUGGCUGAUCAUUUUGAACUCAUAGAAAAGUUUGAACUAAAAAGCGUCAUUGAUCACAUUACAAAAAUUUGCAUAAAAGAUCCACUAAAAGUUAUUUCACAGCUAAGUUUCGCAGAAGCUCACAUGCGCAUCCUGAAGACAAUCCUCGAGUCCCCAUGUCUACCUUGCACAGAAUAUGUUCUCUAUGAUGCUAUAAUUAAAAUGAUGAAACUUCAGCUGAAAGAUGAACCGAAGAAAAUGCAUAGUCAAAUUAUGAGAAAGAAACUUGGGCCAUUGAUGUGCUUGAUAAGAUUUCCCACAAUGUCAGUUGAUGAGUUGCUUCAGUGUGCAAAGUCACCAACUCCAUUGAAGGCAACAGAGUUCCUGGACUUUAUUCUAUGGUCAUAUGAUAAAACUUCCUCCGAGCUGUUGCUUCAUUAUUCAUUAGCAUCAAGAAUCCACUUGUGAUUCUCAAAUUUGAUAAGGAACUCGAAGAAAACUUGCAUUUGUGACGCAGAGGCCCUUGGUUUAAUUCCGAUAGAAGUGCGUUAAGUGAAGAUUGGAAAAAUAAUUGCAGCCUAAAAAUUACAAAAGUAAAGCAAUAUUUUAGAGUUUAAUAAACCAAUGGAAAAGUGGUAAAAAGAAAAGCAAAUAGCUACAUUUUAAUAAUUUUAACAAUGUUACCUAAUCAAACUACAGCAACAGCUUCCUGAACAUUUACUGCCGAAUUAUUAUUUUUAUAAGAAUAGGAUUCUAAUUGUUCAGUGGUUUGUGCGUAAAUGUUAGUUAUGGCAUUUUCAAAAUUUUGAAGAAAUUUAGAAAGCACAAAAAAUCAAGAUUUUAUGGAGGAGAUGAUAUUAAUUUAAACAAGAAAAAAUAAUAAUAUUUUAAACCUGCUUGAUUGGAACUCCAAAGCUGAUCUCUUUUACAUUCAAUAUGAUGGUGAAAAUUUUCUUUUUAAUUUGUAUUUUCGAGUAAAUACAGAGAAUUAUCUUUAUAUUAUUAUUUGCAAUUUCAAUAAUAACCAGAAGAAAAUAAGUGAGAUUGAUUAUAAUUGAUAAAGUUAUGAAUCUUAAAUAUAAACAAAUUUAACUCGCUUCAUAAUUUCAUGAGAAAUAUUGAGCUGCUGGGGCCGCUGGGGCUGUUAGUUAAGAAAUUGGUUAAUAAUCAGACUUGUGUAUUGUAAAUGGUAAAUUAAAAAAAAAACUUGUUCUUCCUUAAACAAAUGAUUUAUAGUAGUUAUAUAAUAAUCCAAAAUGUACAAGAGCACUUUAGAAUAAUAAAUCUUUGAAGUACUCGAAAAA